UACAGAGGGUGCAAGCGUUAAUCGGAGUUACUGGGCGUAAAGGGCGCGUAGGUGGUUGUAUAAGUUGGAUGUGAAAUCCCUGGGCUUAACCUAGGAACUGCAUUCAAGACUGUAUGACUAGAGUACUGUAGAGGGUAGUGGAAUUUCCGGUGUAGCGGUGAAAUGCGUAGAGAUCGGAAGGAACACCGGUGGCGAAGGCGGCUACCUGG
rnacentral:rRNA from 1 species